rnacentral:tRNA from 1 species
GCAUUGGUGGUUCAGUGGUAGAUUUCUCACCUUCCAUGUGAAAGGCCUGGGUUCGAUUCCUGGACAGUGCC